rnacentral:tRNA from 1 species
GGCAUGGUAGCCGAGUGGGUAAAGCGCUUAUAGCUAUUAACCGAAUAUCGAUGGUUCGAAUCCAUCCCGAACCA